CUAAUUUCAUAAAGAAAGUAAAACAGCUUAAAGUUGAUGACUUUUCAUAAGAGGUUUCAGAACAUCGUAGAACAUAAAGAAAUAGGCUUGAAUCAUGGACCAGAUCUAAGAGAUACAAAUGGAAAUUAGGGUUUCAAAGGAAACCCAAGUAGAAAUAGAAGAACCUUCUAUAAACUUCAAAAAUCGUAACAAAUAUGGUGUGAUUUUGCCCAAGAUCACACCGGAGAAGCCAUAAACAACCAAAGCAGCAACCCUAGAUACAAGGCGGCAUGUCCCAGGGCCAAUAAAAGCCUCAGAAAUGAUGAGCAAAGUGAUGGAGGAACCAUUGGAGGCUUGGGGUUGACAAGUGGUUGCCGGAGAUGACCGAGAGGGAGGCGGAAGUUGAAGAGAGAUUAGGGUUAGGUCGAGAGAAGAGAAGAAAUGAGAGCAUCUGAAUGCAG
rnacentral:lncRNA from 1 species